GUUACUUGGCGUACGUGCUCCACCAAAGCAUCUCCACUGAACGGGUACCGCGCCGCAUGACGGUGGCAGCCGAAGUCGAACUGUAGAUGUGGAAGUGCAUGCAUUGAAAACUCUUCAAAGCAUUCCUCGUAUUUGUUGCUGUGCAUUUGUUCAGGAGAAACUAUUUGGAGGCAGAAAAAUUCCACGAAAAAAACCCACUUGAAGAAAGUAAUGUCUUCAGACCAAGUUCAAACGAAGUUGAAGAAGGCUGCCUGGGAAUAUUGUUUCUCAGUGGACGUCUGGAAGGAUCGUUUUCCUUUUACCAGAUGGCUUCCCAAGUAUCGACCUAACAAAAUCCUGAAUGACAUCAUUGCUGGCUUGACUGUAGGGCUUACAGUUCUGCCUCAGGCCCUGGCAUACGCAAACAUCGCUAAACUCCCUCUGGUGUAUGGCUUAUACUCGGCCUUCGUAGGUUCCUUCAUGUACUGCAUCUUUGGUAUGUCCAAGGAUAUCACCGUUGGUCCCACUGCCAUUAUGUCACUGUUGGUGGCAGAUUACGGCAAGCCACUGGAUGAUGGAUCUGAAGACGCACUCAAUGAUCCAACCUAUGCUGUAUUGCUGGCAUUUUUCUGCGGCAUUAUACAAAUUGGUAUGGGAAUUUUGCAUCUGGGUUUUGUCACUAAUUACAUUUCCUCAGUGGUGAUAUCAGGCUUCACAUCCGCCUCCGCUCUGACAAUUGGUUUUGGUCAAAUCAAAAACAUCUUAGGCAUCCGCUUCCAUUCUGAGGUCUUCACCUUGGAUCUUUACAACAUAUUCAAACACAUCGGAGAAACAAAAUGGGCAGACUGUACCUUGGGCAUCUGUUGUAUUGUGACUCUUGUUGCACUGCGGAUGGUGAAAAACAAAAGUCAAAACUCCCUGAACCAAUUAAACAGCUCAUCGCCAUGGCAACGGAGGGUAAUCUGGAAGACACUCUGGAUCAUAGGCACAGGUCGGAAUGCAAUCGUAGUCAUAAUUGCAUCAGGUGUCGUGUAUGCACUCAUCAGCAACGAUUACGAUGGCUACAUAACAAUAACAGGCAACGUGACCUCUGGCCUCCCUCCGUUUCAGCUUCCAGAUUUCCAGGCACCUGGCAUAUUGACGUAUCUCAGGGUUGGUCUCAUCAUAGUUCCUCUGAUUGGUUUCUUAGAGAACAUCGCCAUAGCCAAAGGAUUUGCUCGACAGAAUGGCUACAGAGUGGAGUCCAACCAGGAACUGAUAGCCUUGGGUUUUUGCAAUAUGGGAGGAUCCUUUGUCUCCUCAUACCCAACAACUGGCAGCUUUUCAAGGUCUGCCAUCAACAGUCAAUCCAGCGUGGCCAGUCCAUUGGGUGGUCUAGUGACUGGUUCUCUGGUUCUUCUAGCGUUAGCUUUCUUGACACCAGCCUUUUACUACAUCCCUAAGGCUGCCUUAGCAGCGGUCAUUAUCUUCUCCGUCUUCUUCAUGCUUGAUUAUCAGAUCGUUGGCCAUCUCUGGAAAAUCAGAACAAUUGGCCAAUCAACACCUUCAUGCUACAACUGUGCGCUCCACAGAUCAUAUUGCCAGGCUUCACCGAUUCUUAACUUUCACAUUCCUGAAAAACGAAUGGGAAUUGCUGACAUUAAUUGCAACAUUUUUCCCGUCCUUACAUCUUGGUGUUGAGUAUGGUACCAUGAUCGGCAUUGGAGUAGACCUUCUCAUGCUACUCUUCCCUGUGGCUAAACCAAGCUACAAGGUCGAGCAAGGUAACCCGUUAGUGAUUCGCUUCAAGCAAGGAUUACGUUAUCCGGCUGCAGACAGACUGCAGACAGUACUGGAUGAGGAGGC
rnacentral:misc_RNA from 1 species